CAGUGCUAUUAGUGGUUUGUCCACAUCUUUUCAAAUACGUUGUUAUGUAUGGAUUUAAUUACUUCAGUUCAGAGCUCCUUUGGGAGAAAUCAUGAUACAGUUUAAGGCACAAUUUAGCCUUCACGUUAUUUGCAGCGCUUGCUUGAAUUAUCAUUUGUCAUGGUGUGAUAAUUCUCAUGUUAUGUUGGUAAGAAAAUUUAUGCAUAAUUUCACGUUUGAUUUGAAUGUGGAGUAGCAAGCAUCUCAUUGAGUAUAAUUCGUUAUACUCAUCCCUCUCUAUUUACAAUUUUCAGGUAGAAAUUAGUAUGUUGGACGGCGGUGGAUGGAUGCAUAUUGGACCAAUGGAUCUCCAUCAUGAAGUACUUUAAUUUUUAGAAAUACUAGAAUAUUUAAUAACAGUUGAUUAUUAU
rnacentral:lncRNA from 1 species